GAGUCCCUCCCACUUCUCCGUGGCAGUCCCGGAAGCGGGCUUGAGGUCGUUGCUGUAUUUCCGGUGGGUUCGGAGGCUCGCUCCCGCCGCUGCAGUAGGUCCGGCUGCUGUCCAGCCUCCUCCGGGAAGAUGUUCUACCAUAUCUCCCUGGAGCACGAGAUCCUGCUGCACCCACGCUACUUCGGCCCCAACCUGCUCAACACGGUGAAGCAAAAGCUCUUCACCGAGGUGGAGGGGACCUGCACCGGCAAGUAUGGCUUUGUAAUUGCUGUCACCACCAUCGACAAUAUCGGUGCUGGUGUGAUCCAGCCAGGCCGAGGCUUUGUCCUUUAUCCAGUUAAGUACAAGGCCAUUGUUUUCCGACCCUUUAAAGGGGAGGUCGUGGAUGCCGUUGUCACUCAGGUCAACAAGGUUGGACUCUUCACAGAAAUUGGGCCCAUGUCCUGCUUCAUCUCUCGACAUUCCAUCCCGUCAGAGAUGGAGUUUGAUCCUAACUCCAACCCACCAUGUUACAAGACAAUGGAUGAGGAUACUGUUCCCUCCUCCCCAGGACAUUGUGAUUCAGCAGGACGAUGAGAUCCGCCUGAAGAUUGUGGGGACCCGUGUGGACAAGAAUGACAUUUUUGCUAUCGGCUCCCUGAUGGAUGAUUACUUGGGGCUUGUGAGCUGAACACCAUGACCUCCUACCUUGUUUAGUCCUUAUCCAGGAGGUGUGACUGUCACACUUCCCGUGUUGUCCAGAGGCCCAGUCUGGCUGCUGUGGAGGAGGCAAGGAAGGUUUCUUGUCCUCAGAAGACAUCUGGCUCUUCUUGUGGCUUAGCAGCCACUCCCAGAUUUCUGACUGUGUGUUCUAACCAUAAAAGGUCCUUGAUUCUCAUGGAA